CCCACCACAAAAGUCAUCACUCAAAAUCACUAGCUAGUUGUAAUUCCAAUCAUGGCAGACGUGAGGGCAAAAGAGCGGAUGAUACUAGUGGCUGUUGAUGAGGGUGAGGAGAGCUCGUAUGCGUUGACGUGGUGUCUCAAGAACUUAAUUACUCAAAAUUUCAAUGAUACCCUUAUACUCCUCUAUGCUAAACAGUCUCCCAGAGUUGUCUACACUGCAAUGGAUGGAACAGGGUAUUUGUUUUCAUCCGAUAUCUUUAACACCACCAUAGAGAAGUACAAUAAUAACCUAGCUGAUCGUGUUAUAAAAAACACUGAAACAAUGUGUAAAGAACAUUUGCAGAAUAGUAACGUUAAGGUGGAGGCAAGAGUUGUGAAUGGUGAUCCAAGGGACGUUAUUUGUGAGAUGGUAGAGAAGUUGGGCGUUGAUGUUUUGGUGAUGGGAAGCCAUGGUUACGGUUGGAUCAAAAGGGGCUCUGUGGAGUGUUGACAUUAGAGUUGUUGCUCAUCUCUAAACAAACUGCUAAUGCCUUUGCCUCGGAAACUUUGGCCUGUGCAACCAAUCCUUUUCUGAAAUCCAAACAACUGCGAGACAGUUGUUUCCUCUGAAUUCUUCUGCAAUCAAGUUGUCAAGAUCUUUAUCUUCACUUCUUGAUGGGACUGAGCUCUCAUUUCAUGCCAUUGUUACUGAGGUUGCACCAACAUUGUUUAUAACACUUUCAACAAUUCCACAGUUAUCUCAGGUUUCUUUUAUAGGACUGCAUGGUUUGUUGUUUUCAUAUAAUGUUGAUGGGGAUCAAACUCUUGCAGUAUAUUCGAAUACCUUGUUUUCUUCGACUUGGUAUACUCAACCGGUGAAUUGCAACACUGGGGCAUUAUAUGGCACUGCAGUUUCUUCGAAAUCUAUGUUUUCUGUAAAUGCAAGUUGGUUUCAGGAAGCUUUGAAGAGUACUGCUGCGCAUUCUUCCUUCAUUAAGGAAAGGAUGGAACAAUGCGGCAGAAGAUAGCUUAUUUUAUAACACGGUUUCUUUGUAUGGUAGGGGUGUUAUAUCAUUAUAUGCCUUGGUUUUCCAGCAAAAGUAGUAUAUGAACGAUUCGCAGCAUUGGACUUUCAUUGAGGGGAUUUUCAUUUGGCCACUAGUGAUGGGCAAGGCAUGAUGUUCGCGCUUCAUUAGCUACUAUUACUGGCUUGGUGGAGCUUUGUCAUGAAGAAGCCAAUCCUUAGACUGAUUUGGCAGAAAAUUCUGUUUUCGAAGAAUUUGUUCAAGUCAAGGAAACUGCUCUUGGAAAGGAAGGCAUUGGUUUAGGACUUGGCAUCGUUCAGUCUAUGGUAAGUAACAUAUUGGAAAUAUAUAUGAUGAACUAAUAUUGUUGCAUUUUUCCAUUGUUGACAUUGUGCUAUAGGUACAUCUGAUGAAAGGAGAAAUAACAAUUGUUGAGAAAGAACAUGGUGAAAGAGGCGCUUGCUUCAAGUUUAAUGUUCUCCUAACUUUAUGCAAGAGCCAGCCAAUUGACACUAGUGAAGAACAUCUUAGAGCAAAUAAUGAUUGGCCUCAAUCUGGAUUUCAUCAACAUCUAGCAUCAUUUUGGAGCCCUGCACCUAAACAAGAGGGAUCUCACAUCAUACUUUUUAUAACAGGUGAAGAACGAAGACAAGUCUUGAAGAGGUACAUCGAGAACAACUUAAACAUCAGAGUAACAAUUGUAAGGCAAGAGAAAAUGCUUUACCAGGAGCUAAAGAAGAUAAAGCACAAGAUGGAUCCUUCUAGUCCAGGGAAACUUGAGACAAAUGUACUUGAUAUGUGGACUGCAUCAAGCAACCCUGGUAAAGGACCAAGUGAUGGGACUCAAGGCAUUAUUCAAGAGGGAGGUGACAAUGUUUUGCCGUACUUUUGAAAGACAAACUCGAAAAAUUUCUCAAGUUUUACACUAGUAGUGAUCGAUGCCAGUGCUGCCUCUACAUCUGAAUUGUUCAAAACUUUGUCCAACUUCAUAAAAGAAAUUCCUAGCUUUUCAUGCAAGUUUGUCUGGUUAGAUAGUUCAAUCAUGCGAAAUUCUCAUUUAAGAGAACACCAGGAGGACAAACUAGUCGUCCCAUGUGAUUAUGUCAUAAAGAAGCCAUUUCAUGGUUCACGUUUGAUUGAAGUGAUGAGGCUUCUACCUGAAUGCAAGAGUACAUCCCAGCACAGCUUCCGAAAGUUAAAGAUGGGAUCAAUAUCUCAAGAAGUAGUUCAGCCUUCCUCAGAUCCCAAUCCUGCAUCAUCCAAGUGCCUAAAAGUGGAGAGAGGAGCUGCUACUUCUUCACCUUACACCUCAAUAGAGCAGACAGUUUUGUAUAGUGAUGGUAUGAGCAAGAAGAAGCCACUGAGUGGGAAGAAAAUUCUGAUAGUUGAAGAUGCUGCAACAAUGAUCAAGCUGACAACUACUAGAAUAAGUAAACUUGGAGCAAAGGUUGAAGUAUGCAGAAAUGGGAAAGAGGCAUUUGAUCAUGUUUGCAAGAUUUUAAGUCAUCUAAGAAUGGAAGGGCAUUCCAAGACUCUUCUUCCUUACGAUUAUAUCAUUAUGGAUUGUGAGAUGCCAGUAAUGGAUGGAUUUGAAGCAACAAGGCUGAUCAGAAAGGAGGAAGAAGAAUAAAACGUGCAUAUUCCAAUAAUAGCAUUGACAAAACAUGCAGCAACUGGAGAAGAAAGCAGGAUUGCUAAUGCUGGAAUGGAUUUUCAUCUCACAAAACCAUUGCAAGAAGAUGAGUUGUUAGAUGUAAUUUACUCCAUUGAUGAGAAAUGGAAAAACAUUUCCAAAUAGCAAGCUUAAGUACAUACACAUUGUAAUUGUGAAUUCCCAAAUUUUUAAAUGUCCAGAGCAGUUUUUGGUUA